rnacentral:tRNA from 1 species
GGGGCCGUGGCUCAUUGGUAGAGCCUCUGCUUGGCAUGCAGAAGGUGCCAGGUUCAAUCCCUGGCAUCCCCA